rnacentral:rRNA from 1 species
UACAGAGGUCCCAAGCGUUGUUCGGAUUCACUGGGCGUAAAGGGUGCGUAGGUGGCGUGGUAAGUUUGAUGUGAAAGCUCAGGGCUUAACCCUGAAAUGGCAUUGAAUACUACUGUGCUGGAGGUUUGGAGGGGGGACUGGAAUUCUUGGUGUAGCAGUGAAAUGCGUAGAUAUCAAGAGGAACACCAGUGGCGAAGGCGAGUCCCUGGACAACACCUGACACUGAGGCACGAAAGCUAGGGGAGCAAACGGG